GAUGAACGCUCUCUACAGGCUUAACACAUGCAAGUCGAGGGGCAGCACGAUCUAGCAAUAGAUUGCUGGCGACCGGCGCACGGGUGAGUAACACGUAUCCAACCUGCCGAUAACUCGGGGAUAGCCUUUCGAAAGAAAGAUUAAUACCCGAUGGUAUAAUCAGACCGCAUGGUCUUGUUAUUAAAGAAUUUCGGUUAUCGAUGGGGAUGCGUUCCAUUAGGCAGUUGGUGAGGUAACGGCUCACCAAACCUUCGAUGGAUAGGGGUUCUGAGAGGAAGGUCCCCCACAUUGGAACUGAGACACGGUCCAAACUCCUACGGGAGGCAGCAGUGAGGAAUAUUGGUCAAUGGGCGCAGGCCUGAACCAGCCAAGUAGCGUGAAGGAUGACUGCCCUAUGGGUUGUAAACUUCUUUUAUAUGGGAAUAAAGUUUUCCACGUGUGGAAUUUUGUAUGUACCAUAUGAAUAAGGAUCGGCUAACUCCGUGCCAGCAGCCGCGGUAAUACGGAGGAUCCGAGCGUUAUCCGGAUUUAUUGGGUUUAAAGGGAGCGUAGGUGGACAGUUAAGUCAGUUGUGAAAGUUUGCGGCUCAACCGUAAAAUUGCAGUUGAUACUGGCUGUCUUGAGUACAGUAGAGGUGGGCGGAAUUCGUGGUGUAGCGGUGAAAUGCUUAGAUAUCACGAAGAACUCCGAUUGCGAAGGCAGCUCACUGGACUGCAACUGACACUGAUGCUCGAAAG
rnacentral:rRNA from 1 species